CCUACGGGUGUCUGCAGUGAGGAAUAUUUGUCAAUUGACGCAAGUCUGAACCAGCCAUGCCGCGUGCAGGAAGACGGCUCUAUGAGUUGUAAACUGCUUUUGUACGCGGGUAAAUCCCGAUACGUGUAUCGGGUUGAAAGUAUCUUACGAAUAAGGAUCGGCUAACUCCGUGCCAGCAGCCGCGGUACUACCGAGGAUUCAAGCGUUAUCCGGAUUUUUUGGGUUUACAGGGUUCGUAGGCGGUUCGAUAAGUUAGAGGUGAAAUCCCUGGGCUAAACGCCGGCACUGCAUCUGAUACUGUCGGGCUAGAGUUGAGGUGCGGUAGGAGGAAUGUAUGGUGGAGCGGUGAAAUGCAUAGAGAUCAUACAGAACACCGAGUGCGAAGGCAGCUUACCAAACUACGACUGACGUUGAGGCACGAAAGCGUGGGGAGCAAACAGGAUUAGAUACCCUGGUAGUC
rnacentral:rRNA from 1 species